AGAGUUUGAUCAUGGCUCAGAACAAACGCUGGCGGCGUGCCUAAUACAUGCAAGUCGAACGGGGAAGUACCUUCGGGUAUUGUACUAGUGGCGUACGGGUGAGUAAUACGUGGAUAAUCUUCCUUUAGGUGGGGAAUAACCAAUCGAAAGAUUGGCUAAUACCGCAUGAGACCACAAUGUCUUCGGACAAAGGGGUUAAAGCCUUCGGGCGCCAAAAGAUGAGUCUGCGCCCCAUUAGCUAGUUGGUGAGGUAAAAGCUUACCAAGGCGACGAUGGGUAGCUGGUCUGAGAGGAUGAUCAGCCACACUGGGACUGAGACACGGCCCAGACUCCUACGGGAGGCAGCAGUAGGGAAUAUUGCACAAUGGACGAAAGUCUGAUGCAGCGACGCCGCGUGAGUGAUGAAGGCCUUCGGGUUGUAAAGCUCUGUUCACAGGGAAUAAAAAAAUGAAGGUACCUGUGGAGAAAGGACCGGCUAACUUCGUGCCAGCAGCCGCGGUAAUACGAGGGGUCCAAGCGUUGUUCGGAAUCAUUGGGCGUAAAGCGGGUGUAGGUGGCUUUGUAAGUCAGGAGUGAAAGCCCUGGGCUCAACCCAGGAAGUGCUUUUGAUACUGCGAAGCUUGAGUGUGGGAGAGGAUCGUGGAAUUCCAGGUGUAGUGGUGAAAUACGUAGAUAUCUGGAGGAACACCGGUGGCGAAGGCGGCGAUCUGGCCCAACACUGACACUCAGACCCGAAAGUGCGGGGAUCAAACAGGAUUAGAUACCCUAGUAGUCC
rnacentral:rRNA from 1 species